UUUCGAAUCAUUCACAAUGGGCGAAAGCCUGAUGGUGCGACGCCGCGUGAGGGAUGAAGGCCUUCGGGUUGUAAACCUCUGUCACCGGGGAAAAAACGCUUCAAGCUAACAGUUUGAAGCCUGACUUAACCCGGAGAGGAAGCAGUGGCUAACUCUGUGCCAGCAGCCGCGGUAAUACAGAGACUGCAAGCGUUAUUCGGAUUCACUGGGCGUAAAGGGUGCGCAGGCGGCCAAGUGUGUGAGGCGUGAAAGCCCGAUGCUCAACAUCGGAAUUGCACCUCAAACUACAUGGCUAGAGCAUUGGAGAGGGUAGCGGAAUUCACGGUGUAGCAGUGAAAUGCGUAGAUAUCGUGAGGAACACCAGAGGCGAAGGCGGCUACCUGGACAAUUGCUGACGCUCAGGCACGAAAGCGUGGGGAGCAAA
rnacentral:rRNA from 1 species